rnacentral:misc_RNA from 1 species
GAUGAAGAACGCAGCGAAAUGCGAUAAGUAAUGUGAAUUGCAGAAUUCAGUGAAUCAUCGAAUCUUUGAACGCACAUUGCGCCCGCCAGUAAUCUGGCGGGCAUGCCUGUUCGAGCGUCAUUACAACCCUCAGGCCCCCGGGCCUGGCGUUGGGGAUCGGCGGAAGCCCCCUGCGGGCACAACGCCGUCCCCCAAAUACAGUGGCGGUCCCGCCGCAGCUUCCAUUGCGUAGUAGCUAACACCUCGCAACUGGAGAGCGGCGCGGCCACGCCGUAAAACACCCAACUUCUGAAUGUUGACCUCGAAUCAGGUAGGAAUACCCGCUGAACUUAAGCAUAUCAAUAAGCGGAGGA